rnacentral:rRNA from 1 species
GUCGAGAAUAAUUCACAAUGGGGGAAACCCUGAUGGAGCGACGCCGCGUGGAGGAUAAGGUCUUCGGAUUGUAAACUCCUGUCAUGCGUGAACAAGGUUGCUUGGUUAAUACCUGGGCAAAUUGAUGGUAACGCAAGAGGAAGAGACGGCUAACUCUGUGCCAGCAGCCGCGGUAAUACAGAGGUCUCAAGCGUUGUUCGGAAUCACUGGGCGUAAAGGGUGCGUCGGUGGCGUGGUAAGUCAGAUGUGAAAGCCCGGGGCUCAACCUCGGAACGGCAUCCGAUACUGCCAUGCUAGAGUACUGGAGAGGUGACUAGAAUUCUCGGUGUAGCAGUGAAAUGCGUAGAUAUCGAGAGGAAGACCAAAGGCGUAGGCAGGUCACUGGACAGUUACUGACACUGAGGCACGAAGGCCAGGGGAGCGAACGGGAUUAGAAACCCGUGUAGUCC